GAAGCUUUACGACCAAGGAGAGAUAAGCAUAUUUUAUGAAUGAUAGAAGGAGUGCUCCCCGAGCACAGGCUCGCUUGGAAGGAUAGAGCGCCGCAAGACAAGAUGGCAUAUUGAAGGGAAGGCUAUGAAAAGAAUUCUGGUCUCUCGAACGCCUGGCAUACUAAUACGAGCCGCAUACUUGAAUACUAGUGACAUAUUGGAGGAAAGGAGAUUAUUGGAAUACUAGAGGGAGUUACGCCCAUAAGAACUGCUGGCUGUAAACGCGACUUGCUCUGCUCCUCCUAAAACCCUUUUCGAUAGUAAGAUAGAUAUAGAUCUAAAGGGCCUAGAAGGGCAAGCAUGGACCGAAUAAUACACAUACUAAUUUGACCCAGCGUCGUCAUACCCAAAUUAUGUCAAUGGGCCGGCUAUGAGCGUAGAAAGUGUGAGUUCUAAUUUAAUGGAGUUGGAAGAAGAAAUAAAUUCCCCUCCUCCCCCUAAUCCAAACCCUUAUUCUCAGAUUCCUUAUUUCGUUGCUGCUAAUGCAAAUAUAGAUUACUUUUCUCAAAUGCAGAUGUAUUAUCAAAUGCAGAUGUAUUUUUUAUUUCAUUUCACUUAUUUUAGCGGCCAGCCGCUUUUGCCUUUUCCGUGGGUACCGAUGUAUGUGCAUUUUUUGAUGUCUUUUUAUAUGCGCUUUUGGAAUUUUCCCAUCUAAGCAAACUAUUUUGCGCCAUUUGAUCUUUAAUUGAACUAGACUGGUAUAAGCUCCGUAUUGAAUUGAAAAACUAUUUCAGGCUCCGUAUUGUAUUUAGAAACUAUUUAAGGCUCCGUAUUGAAUUGAAAAACUAUUUCAGGCUCCGUAUUGAAAACUCGAAUUGGAUUUUGUGUCGGCUGGCCGGCAGGACCGCCAGCCCGCAGAUGUAGGGAGGUCUCCUCUUGAACUGCGAAAUCAAAGUCGCGAUCUGAUAGGUAUCUAUCCUGACCAUGCAUCUGGAAAGCGCCGGUUCGAUUCCGGCUCGUGACAUGAAGAAGAAGUCCCAAACAGGGAUCAGAUGAGUUUGCACAGCGUUACUUUGUUGACGGAAAAUCUAAUUGUUCUUCCGGUUCAAUGAAGACUAUGCUUACUUUCCUUUCUCUUACCGGUCUGUGUUCUAUCAUGGACCUGUAUUCCGUUCCUUGAAUCGAGACUUUCUUUUGGUAUGAUUUUGAUACGAGUUUUCUAUCAAAACUCUAUGCCAUCAAUCAC
rnacentral:lncRNA from 1 species